CCUACGGGCGGCAGCAGUGAGGAAUAUUGGUCAAUGGACGAGAGUCUGAACCAGCCAAGUAGCGUGAAGGAUGACUGCCCUAUGGGUUGUAAACUUCUUUUAUAAAGGAAUAAAACGAGGCACGUGUGCCUUUUUGCAUGGACUUUAUGAAUAAGGAUCGGCUAACUCUGUGUCAGCAGCCACGGUAAGACGGAGGAUCCGAGCGUUAUCCGGAUUUAGUGGGUUUAAAGGGAGCGUAGAUGGGUUGUUAAGUCAGAUGUGAAAGUUUGCGGCUCAACCGUAAAAUUGCAAUUGAUACUGGCAAUCUUGAGUACAGUUGAGGUAAGCGGAAUUCGUGGUGUAGCGGUGAAAUGCUUAGAUAUCACGAAGAACCCCGAUUGCGAAGGCAGCUUACUAAACUGUGACUGACAUUGAGGCUCGAAAGUGUGGGUAUCAAACAGGAUUAGAUACCCUUGUAGUC
rnacentral:rRNA from 1 species